rnacentral:rRNA from 1 species
GCCAGACUCCUACGGGAGGCAGCAGUGGGGGAUAUUGCACAAUGGGGGAAACCCUGAUGCAGCGACGCCGCGUGUGGGAAGACGGUCCUCUGGAUUGUAAACCACUGUCCCCAGGGACGAAGAUGACGGUACCUGGGGAGGAAGCUCCGGCUAACUACGUGCCAGCAGCCGCGGUAAUACGUAGGGAGCGAGCGUUAUCCGGAUUUACUGGGUGUAAAGGGCGAGUAGGCGGGAUUGCAAGUCAGAUGUGAAAACUAGGGGCUCAACCGAUAGAGUGCAUUUGAAACUGCAGUUCUUGAGUGAUGGAGAGGCAGGCGGAAUUCCCGGUGUAGCGGUGGAAUGCGUAGAUAUCGGGAGGAACACCAGUGGCGAAGGCGGCCUGCUGGACAUUAACUGACGCUGAGGCGCGAAAGCGUGGGGAGCAAACAGGAUUAGAUACCCGCGUA